rnacentral:rRNA from 1 species
AGCAGUCGCCGCGGUAAUACGUAGGGUGCGAGCGUUAAUCGGAAUUACUGGGCGUAAAGCGUGCGCAGGCGGUUUUGUAAGACAGGCGUGAAAUCCCCGGGCUCAACCUGGGAAUGGCGCUUGUGACUGCAAAGCUAGAGUGCGGCAGAGGGGGAUGGAAUUCCGCGUGUAGCAGUGAAAUGCGUAGAUAUGCGGAGGAACACCGAUGGCGAAGGCAAUCCCCUGGGCCUGCACUGACGCUCAUGCACGAAAGCGUGGGGAGCAAACAGGAUUAGAUACCCGUGUAGUCCCUGUCUCUUAUAC